GGUGUCUUGAUACCUCUGGCUCCUGUAAUCCUUCCUUUCUCUCUUCUACAGGAUUCCCAGAGCUCUGCCUAAUGAUUUGCUGUGGAUCUCUGCAUCUGCUCCCAUCGGUUGCUUGGUUCUACUGAUGACAAACCAAAAAUUUUUCAAGCAUUUGUCAUCUAGUUUUAUCAGACUUGCUUCAGAUGACAUCUUUUCUCCUUAACUCCCUCAACUGUGCUGGAAUACAGCAGUAGCAACUACUCUAAUAGAUGCAGCUUCUUCAUUAAUCUACCUUUAAAGUUGAAACCUACUGUUGAUUCUGCAUCCACCCUUAGCUUAUAGAAAAUGCCUUGGUGUUGUAGAGGAUGUAGUGAUGCUUCAUUUUGGCCCUGUGUGCCAGGACAAAGACACUCACUUCCUGGAUUCUGCUGCUAGCUCACAGCUGGAUUCGACUUGACCAACUCUUCUCAGCUCAGGGAGCUGUGUCACACAUCUGAGUGCACUAUCUGAUUACUGUAGGAGUUGAGAGGCCCUUGCCCUCUGCCUCAGUCGAGGCUGUCUGAAGAAUCACCUCAGUUUUAGGGCUCUCCAUGCAUUGUAAACCAACCUCUUUCUUCCUGCCAACCCUGCUUUCCUCACUACUUUAGUUAUCGUUCCCAAGUACAGUCAAGAUGUCUCGACUAGUUUCUCAACUAUAUAUACAUGAAAGUAUUGGAAUUGUAGUGCUUUAAAUGGAUUGUAAGGAUUUGAGACUAUAAUCAAAACAUCUAGCUUUGUGUUGAAAUUUCU